AUGCCCAUAUCACAUUGAAACACUGGUUUCUGUAUGAUCACUGAAGUUAAGCAACGUUGAGCCUGCUCAGUACCUAAAUUGGUGAUCACUUAGGAAUACCAUGUGUUGUAAG